UUAUGGCCAUAUAACGUUGAAACACCAGGUCUCGAAUGAUCACCGAAGUUAAGCAACGCCCAAACUGGUCAGUAUCCAGAUGGGUUACCGCUUGGGAAUACCAUGUGCUGUAAG